CCAGUCAUUCGACUCCAGAGCCAUGUUGGCAAAUGGCACGACACCUCCGCAGCGCAACGUGGAACUGGACGUGUGGGGGGACCACGGCGAGCAUUGUUCAACAACAACAACAACAACAACAACAACAAAAAGGAUGCAGAUGACCAAUAACCUGGAAGAAAAUAACAGAGACAAGAGGAUUAAUAUGGGAUAUAAUCUGUUGUCAAUUAAACAAUCUUAACUUUAAUAUGACACAUCCACAACACGUCAUGCCGUCUCCCCAAAUGGACCUCGAGCUGCACCUCCUCCUACACACCUGGGUCAGGAGGAGGACAGGAGAGCCCCUGUUCAGAGUUUAGCAGAUUUAGAGGAGGCUAUACCCAACAUCAUGGAGAUGUCAUUGGCCGAGGUCAACCAGGCCCCGCCAUCCGCCACCAGGAUGGCUCCAGUAACAUACGAGGACGCCCGGCUUGCCAGGAAGAGAGUGCAGUGGGCCAUCUCCGUCUUGUUGCCUGCUCGCUGCACAGGAAUGGAUUGGAAGGCAGCAGUGGUAUCAGCUCUAAGGCCACCUGAAAGAUUUAAAAGGGGAAAAUAAAUCCUUGCUCAGACACUCUUAAGCUGUUUUCAGAAACACAACUUUAUAGUUAUCUAUCAUUUUUUUCAGACAGACAUCAUUAUAUUACUCAGCAGGCAUCAGAAGGUAAUUUCCUGUAACCUCCAUGUGGAACCAGUUUAAUACAGAAGAGUUAUUUAUCGAGCAAUGUUGGCAUCAAAUUUAUUCCCAGGUUUUUUGGGGGUGGCAUCAGAAAAUAACAAAACAUGUUUUUAAGACUGUAUUUGUUUACAUGUGAAUAGUGUAGAGCACUACAGGACUGUAUUUACUGUAAGAAAUCGAACCAUGACUUAUAGUAAAGGAUUAUUGUGUUGAGUUUACCCAGUCUGCGGAAUCCCUCAGUGCCAGAGACUGGACCUGGAGCCAAAGAGUUGACUCUCACCCCACUGGGCCCCCACUCCACAGCCAGGUGCUUGGUCAUGGCAUCUGGGGUCACACAGAGGGAGCACAGACUCGUUAGACUCUCCUUCUGAAACCAUUUCAUAACACUGAAAAUGCUCUAACUGUACCAUUUGCAGCCUUGGCAGAGCCUGCGUGCACCUGGAGGGCCUGCCCCUUGUAUCCAAGUGUUGCAGAGAUGUUAACUAUGUUGCCACCGUGGUCCUGAACACAGAAAUGAUGGGGACUCAGGAUCAAUGCAACGAAAUCAGCUUCAGAGAGCAGAGGUCACAGUUAAAAUCCAAUUUAGUUAUAAGAAAGGCAUAGAGUAAUCUGGACUCUUUAGUGCCCUCUGUUGGUGAUCAGGGGGAAUUGCAGAAAGUGAAUCUUAUUGAGUUAUUGUUCAAUAACCCAGUUAUCCUUAUGCAGACACAUUAGCAUUUGUAUGCUGCAGGCUAAUAAAAUAUGUACUAGUACUAAUUUUCCUUACUAAUAGUUCCUUAACUUCAAGUGAAGAAACAGGUGUUGUACCUUGAACCACUUCUCAUAAACCACCUUGCUGGUGUUGAAUGUGCCCAUAGUGUCGAUCUCCAUCACAGUCUUGAAGGCGUUGAAGGAGAGUGAGGUAGCCGGGCAGAGAAAGUUUCCGGCAGCAUCUACGUAAAAUUAUGACACAGCUGAAAAAUUCCCGGGCAGAGGAGUUUAAGUUUUCAUUAAUGCUUUUGCUUCAUUACAGCGACAAAUGCAUUAUUUACGAAGUACAUUCGGGAAGUAAAAUAACACUGGGUGACCUGAAUCUGUUUAGACACUUAAUAAUCUUGUAGUGAUGUAACAGUGUGUUACAGGGACUAGGGUGUGAAGAUAGAGUAUAGAGAUGCAGCAUCAAUUAAUCAUCAACUUUCCCUGAAAGUUGAUGAUUAAACCAAAACCUUUCACACUUGAUCUUUGUUUAAAGUGUAUUUGCCAGUAGUCGACCUAUGGACACCUAAAUGUGUAUUUGCCCUUAUGUUAGCAGGAUGCACUGUAGAACGAAAAUGAAUGUGAGAGACUGCUGCCAUCACAAACAUAUUAAUCAUCAGGAAAACAACAUAUUUCUAAGCAAG